GACGAACCGUCCAAACGUUAUUCGGAAUCACUGGGCUUACAGAGUUCGUAGGACGGUCUGGAAAGUUGGGUGUGAAAUCCCUCGGCUCAACCGAGGAACUGCGCUUGAAACUACCAGACUCGAGGGAGAUAGAGGAAAGCGGAACUGAUGGUGGAGCGGUGAAAUGCGUUGAUAUCAUCAGGAACACCGGUGGCAGGAGGCGUCUUGCUGGUCUUACCUGGACGC
rnacentral:rRNA from 1 species